rnacentral:rRNA from 1 species
AUUGAACGCUGGCGGCAUGCCUUACACAUGCAAGUCGAACGGCAGCACGGGAGCAAUCCUGGUGGCGAGUGGCGAACGGGUGAGUAAAGUAUCGGAACGUGCCCAGUCGUGGGGGAUAACGUAGCGAAAGUUACGCUAAUACCGCAUACGAUCUAUGGAUGAAAGCGGGGGAUCGCAAGACCUCGCGCGAUUGGAGCGGCCGAUAUCAGAUUAGGUAGUUGGUGGGGUGAAGGCUCACCAAGCCGACGAUCUGUAGCUGGUCUGAGAGGACGACCAGCCACACUGGGACUGGGACACGGCCCAGACUCCUACGGGAGGCAGCAGUGGGGAAUUUUGACAAUGGGCGAAAGCCUGAUCCAGCCAUGCCGCGUGCAGGAUGAAGGCCUUCGGGUUGUAAACUGCUUUUGUACGGAACGAAAAGGUUUGGCCUAAUAAGCUGAGCUCAUGACGGUACCGUAAGAAUAAGCACCGGCUAACUACGUGCCAGCCGCCGCAGUAA